rnacentral:sRNA from 1 species
UUGCUUUGAUGGUCUCUGCAAUUCACAC